CGCAUCUGUGCAUGCAGCAUAUCAAUAAGCGGAGGAAAAGAAACUAACAAGGAUUCCCCUAGUAACGGCGAGUGAAGCGGGAAGAGCUCAAAUUUGAAAUCUUAAAGGGUUUCCCUUUACGAAUUGUAGUUUAAAGAAGUGUUUUCUGUUGAGGUUUUGGUAAAAGUUCUUUGGAAUAGGACAUCAUAGAGGGUGAGAAUCCCGUAUUUGACCUUUACUUUCAACUUUGUGAUACACUUUCAAAGAGUCGGAUUGUUUGGGAAUGCAGUCCAAAAUGGGUGGUAAAUUUCAUCUAAAGCUAAAUAUUGGCGAGAGACCGAUAGCGAACAAGUACCGUGAGGGAAAGAUGAAAAGAACUUUGAAAAGAGAGGUUAAACAGUACGUGAAAUUGUCAAAAGGGAAGCGUUUGACACCAGUGUUGUUUUUCUGAAAAUCAAUUAAAGAACUGUUUAUGCUAAGCUUGUUUAGACUUUAUCAGCUAACUGUUUAGUUUUGAGCUUUUCUUUAAUGCACUUUUCAGUUAACAAGUCAACAUCAAUUUCUUUUGCUGUAAAAAAGCUUGAGGAAGGUGGCUUGAGAUUCGUCUUAAGUGUUUAUAGCCUCUUGCCUAUGCAGUCGGAGAGAUUGAGGUCUGCAGCGUAGAUCCUUCGGGGCUAAAUGCAUUUGUGCUAAGUUAUAGCAUUUUAUAGACAACUUGUUGACUAUGAUUUGUCUUGUAGCUUACUCGCUUAUGUUAUUUUACCUACGCUUAGGAUGUUGAGCGCAUGUCUCUCUCU
rnacentral:rRNA from 1 species